rnacentral:rRNA from 1 species
AUUGAACGCUGGCGGCAGGCUUAACACAUGCAAGUCGAGCGGAGAUGAGGUGCUUGCACCUUAUCUUAGCGGCGGACGGGUGAGUAAUGCUUAGGAAUCUGCCUAUUAGUGGGGGACAACAUUCCGAAAGGAAUGCUAAUACCGCAUACGUCCUCCGGGAGAAAGCAGGGGAUCUUCGGACCUUGCGCUAAUAGAUGAGCCUAGGUCGGAUUAGCUAGUUGGUGGGGUAAAGGCCUAACAAGGCGACGAUCUGGAGCGGGUCUGAGAGGAUGAUCCGCCACACUGGGACUGAGACACGGCCCAGACUCCUACGGGAGGCAGCAGUGGGGAAUAUUGGACAAUGGGGGGAACCCUGAUCCAGCCAUGCCGCGUGUGUGAAGAAGGCCUUAUGGUUGUAAAGCACUUUAAGCGAGGAGGAGGCUACUGAGACUAAUACUCUUGGAUAGUGGACGUUACUCGCAGAAUAAGCACCGGCUAACUCUGUGCCAGCCGCCACCGUAA